GACGAACGCUGGCGGCGUGCUUAACACAUGCAAGUCGAACGGAAAGGCCCUGCUUGCAGGGUGCUCGAGUGGCGAACGGGUGAGUAACACGUGGGUGAUCUGCCCCUUACUUUGGGAUAAGCCUGGGAAACUGGGUCUAAUACUGGAUAGGACCAUGCUGUAGGUGGUGUGGUGGAAAGAUUAGUUUCGGUAAGGGAUGAGCUCGCGGCCUAUCAGCUUGUUGGUGGGGUAAUGGCCUACCAAGGCGUCGACGGGUAGCCGGCCUGAGAGGGUGGACGGCCACAUUGGGACUGCGAUACGGCCCAGACGCCUACGGGGGGCAGCAGUGGGGGAUAUUGCACAAUGGGCGCAAGCCUGAUGCAGCGACGCCGCGUGGGGGAUGACGGCCUUCGGGUUGUAAACUCCUUUCAGCCAUGACGAAGCCCUUGUGGUGACGGUAGUGGUAGAAGAAGCACCGGCUAACUACGUG
rnacentral:rRNA from 1 species